AUUGAACGCUGGCGGCAUGCCUUACACAUGCAAGUCGAACGGCAGCACGGGUGCUUGCACCUGGUGGCGAGUGGCGAACGGGUGAGUAAUACAUCGGGACAUGUCCUGUAGUGGGGGAUAGCCCGGCGAAAGCCGGAUUAAUACCGCAUACGAUCUACGGAUGAAAGCGGGGGACCUUCGGGCCUCGCGCUAUAGGGUUGGCCGAUGGCUGAUUAGCUAGUUGGUGGGGUAAAGGCCUACCAAGGCGACGAUCAGUAGCUGGUCUGAGAGGACGACCAGCCACACUGGGACUGAGACACGGCCCAGACUCCUACGGGAGGCAGCAGUGGGGAAUUUUGGACAAUGGGCGAAAGCCUGAUCCAGCAAUGCCGCGUGUGUGAAGAAGGCCUUCGGGUUGUAAAGCACUUUUGUCCGGAAAGAAAUCCUUGGCCCUAAUACGGUCGGGGGAUGACGGUACCGGAAGAAUAAGCACCAGCUAACUACGUG
rnacentral:rRNA from 1 species